GUGGGGAAUUUUGGACAAUGGGCGAAAGCCUGAUCCAGCCAUGCCGCGUGCAGGAUGAAGGCCUUCGGGUUGUAAACUGCUUUUGUACGGAACGAAAAGACUCUUUCUAAUAAAGAGGGUUCAUGACGGUACCGUAAGAAUAAGCACCGACUAACUACGUGCCAGCAGCCGCGGUAAUACGUAGGGUGCGAGCGUUAAUCGGAAUUACUGGGUGUAAAGCGUGCGCAGGCGGUGAUGUAAGACAGAUGUGAAAACCCCGGGCUCAACCUGGGAACUGCAUUUGGAACUGAAUCGGUGGAGUGCGGCAGAGGGGGAUGGAAUUCCGCGUGUAGCAGUGAAAUUCGUAGAUAUGCGGAGGAACACCGAUUGCGAAGGCAAUCCCCUGGGCCUGUACUGACGCUCAUGCACGAAAGCGUGGGGAGCAAACAGGAUUAGAUACCCGUGUAGUCC
rnacentral:rRNA from 1 species